GCCAGGUGCGGUGGCGCGUGCCUGUAAUCCCAGCUAUUAGGAGGCUGAGACAGGAGAAUUGCUUGAACCUGGGAGGCGGAGGUUGCAGUGAGCUGAGAUUGCGCCACUGCACUCCAGCCUGGGGGACAGAGGGAGAUUUUUAAAAAAAAAAAAAAAAAAAAAAAAGACAAUCUUUGUGGGUUUUCUGACUUUUUUUUUGAGACAGGGUCUUGCUCUGUCCCUCAGGCUAGAGUGCAGUAGCGCAAUCUCCACUCAUUGCAACUUCUACCUCCCAGGUUCGAGAGAUCCUGCCACCU
ensembl:misc_RNA Metazoa_SRP Metazoan signal recognition particle RNA